GCGGUUGCUGCCGGAGACGGUUGGAAGAACCGUUGUGGGAGCGCUGCACGAGGCGGGCGACUUCUCCCUGCUCACGACCGGACCCCGCGAGCAGCGGAGUUGGCGCUACUGUCGCCCGACAGGCAUUUAAAUCAAACGGUAUUGAGAUGGAUUGGGUUAUGAAACAUAAUGUUUCAAAUGACGCUAAUGAUGGGACAGUACGACUUCGUGGACUGCCAUUUGGUUGCAGCAAAGAGGAAAUAGUUCAGUUCUUUCAAGGGUUGGAAAUCGUGCCAAAUGGGAUAACACUGACGAUGGACUACCGGGGAGAGACACAGGGGAGGCCUUCGUGCAGUUUGCUUCAAAGGAGAUAGCAGAAAAUGCUCUGGGGAAACACAAGGAAAGAAUAGGGCACAGGUAUAUUGAGAUCUUCAGAAGUAGCAGGAGUGAAAUCAAAGCAUUUUAUGAUCCACCAAGAAGAUUGCUGGGCCAGCAACCGGGACCAUAUAAUAGACCAAUAGGAGGAAGAGGGGGUUAUUAUGGAGCUGGGUGUGGAAGUUAUGGAGGUUUUGAUGACUAUGGUGGCUAUAAUAAUUAUGGCUAUGAAAAUGAUGGCUUUGAUGAGAGAAUGAGAGAUGGAAGAGGUAUGGGAGGACAUGGCUAUGGUGGAGCUGGUGAUGCAAGCUCAGGCUUUCAUGGUGGUCAUUUUGUACAUAUGAGGGGAUUACCUUUCCAUGCAACCAAAAGUGACAUUGCUAAUUUCUUCUCACCACUAAAUCCAAUCCGAGUGCAUACUGAUAUUGGAGCUGAUGGCAGAGCAACAGGAGAAGCAGAUGUAGAGUUUGUGACACACAAAGAUGCAGUACCUGCCAUGUCUAAAGAUAAGAAUAACAUGCAACAUCGAUACAUUGAACUCUUCUUGAAUUCAACUCCUGGAGGUGGCUCUGGAAUGGGAGGUUCUGGAAUGGGAGCUUAUGGCAGAGAUGGAAUGGAUAAUCAGGGAGGCUAUGGAUCUGUUGGAAGAAUGGGAAUGGGGAACAAUUACAGUGAAGGAUAUGGUACUCCUGAUGGCUUGGGUGGUUAUGGCUGUGGUGGUGGAGGCAGUGGCGGUUACUAUGGGCAAGGUGGCAUGAGUGGAGGUGGAUGGCGUGGGAUGUACUGAAGCAUAACCACCGAUAUAAAAGUCCUGACAACAGCAUCUGGUCUACUAGACUUUCUUACAGAUUUAAUUUCUUUUGUAUUUUAAGAACUUUAUAAUGACUGAAGGAAUGUGUUUUCAAACUAUUAUUUGGUAAAGCAACAGAUUGUGAUGGGAAAAUCUGUUUUCUGUAGGUUUUAUUUGUUGCAUACUUUGACUUAAAAAAAUAAAUUUUUAUAUUCAAAAA